rnacentral:rRNA from 1 species
CCUACGGGGGACAGCAGUGGGGAAUAUUGCACAAUGGGGGAAACCCUGAUGCAGCGACGCCGCGUGAGUGAAGAAGUAUUUCGGUAUGUAAAGCUCUAUCAGCAGGGAAGAAAAUGACGGUACCUGAUUAAGAAGCCCCGGCUAACUACGUGCCAGCAGCCGCGGUAAUACGUAGGGGGCAAUCGUUAUCCGGAUUUACUGGGUGGAAAGGGAGCGUAGACGGCAGCACAAGUCUGGAGUGAACUGCCGGGGCUUAACCCCGGAACUGCUUUGGAAACUGUGCAGCUAGAGUGCAGGAGAGGUAAGUGGAAUUCCUAGUGUAGCGGUGAAAUGCGUAGAUAUUAGGAGGAACACCAGUGGCGAAGGCGGCUUACUGGACUGUAACUGACGUUGAGGCUCGAAAGCGUGGGGAGCAAACAGGAUUAGAUACCCUAGUAGCC